AGAGUUUGAUCCUGGCUCAGAUUGAACGCUGGCGGCAUGCCUUACACAUGCAAGUCGAACGGCAGCACGGAGCUUGCUCUGGUGGCGAGUGGCGAACGGGUGAGUAAUAUAUCGGAACGUACCCUAGAGUGGGGGAUAACGUAGCGAAAGUUACGCUAAUACCGCAUACGAUCUAAGGAUGAAAGUGGGGGAUCGCAAGACCUCAUGCUCGUGGAGCGGCCGAUAUCUGAUUAGCUAGUUGGUAGGGUAAAAGCCUACCAAGGCAUCGAUCAGUAGCUGGUCUGAGAGGACGACCAGCCACACUGGAACUGAGACACGGUCCAGACUCCUACGGGAGGCAGCAGUGGGGAAUUUUGGACAAUGGGCGAAAGCCUGAUCCAGCAAUGCCGCGUGAGUGAAGAAGGCCUUCGGGUUGUAAAGCACUUUCAGUGGGGAGGAAAGGUUGCAGAUUAAUACUCUGUAGCUGUGACGUUACCCACAGAAGAAGCACCGGCUAACUCCGUGCCAGCAGCCGCGGUAAUACGUAGGCUACGAGCGUUACCCGGAUUUAUUGGGCGUAAAGGGUCUGUAGACGGUUUUCCAAGUCUGGUUUCAAAGCCCCCGACUCAAUCGGGGAAAGGGGUCAGAUACUGGGAUACUAGAGUCAUAUCGGGGUUACUGGAAUUUUUGGUGUAGGGGUUAAAUCCGUGGAUACCAAAAAGAACACCAAGCGCGAAGGCGGGUAACUAGGUAUGUACUGACGUUCAGAGACGAAAGCUAGGGUAGCAAAUCAGAUUAGAGACCUGAGUAGUCCUAGCUGUAAACAUUGUCCGUUAGUUCUUCUCAAUUUAUUGGGAGGGAUGUUAGCUAACGCGUUAAACGGAUCGCCUGGGGAGUAUAGCCGCAAGGCCGAAACUUAAACGAAUUGGCGGGGAGGCGCACAACCAGUGGAGCAUGUGGUUCAAUUCGAUACGAAGCUGAUGAACCUUACCUGGGCUUAAAAUGCACCUGGUAAGCAGGCUCCUGAAAGGGAGAGUCCUUCGAGGGUGGUGCACAGCUGUUGCAUGGCUGUCGUCAGCUCGUGACGUGAGUUGUUCUCUUAAGUGAGGUAACGAGCGCAACCCCCAUUCUGUGUUAUCGUGUCACAGAAGACUGCCUAGCAUUAUUUUGUUAGGAGGAAGGAGGGGCCGACGUCAAGUCAUCAUGAUGCUUAUGUCCAGGGCUACACACAUCCUACAAUGGGCUAUAACAGAGGGUUGCAAGACCGCAAGGUGGAGCUAAUCCCUAAACUAGCCCUCAGUUGGGAUUGCAGGCUGAAACUCGCCUGCAUGAACCCGGAAUUGGUAGUAAUCGCACAUCAGCAGCGUGCGGUGAAUACGUUCUCGCCUCUUGCACACACUGCCCGUCAAAUCAGCAAAGUUGGGGGUACCCAAAGGCUCUGGCUUGCCAGGGACUAAGGUAAAUCCAGCGAUGAGGGUUAAGUCGUAACAAGGUAACC
rnacentral:rRNA from 1 species